UUCGAGGAAGACCGACUACUCAUAUCUCCGUUUUGUUUCACGUUAUUGUCCGCGUGUUUUAAUGGCUACAAGCGAACUAUCCAUGGAGUGCUGAAGGGAAGGAGCGUCGGUUUACGGAGAGGGAACUGACCGAAGGACGACCGUCGGCUCCGUGCAGAGACAGCGAGUCAACCGGAGCCUGUACUACUGUUCUUCAAGUGGUGGCCUACUGUCCCUGAGUGGUGGCUUACAUUGUCAACUAUGAUGUGGAUCCCUGAUUGGCCAAGAUUGGAUUUUGAUUUCUGAAUACAAGGCAGCAUCAAGCACUGACAGCACUGAGUCCAGGCUGAUACAGAGAGCAGGACAGAAUGUGGUCUGCAACUUGGAAGGCAUCUCGGCCACGUGUCAUGCCAACUACUGACCUCCAGAUGACACAGUCAGCUCUCCUUAGAAACAUAACAUUUAUGAACCUUGCAAAAUCAAUAUUCAAAGCUUGCAGAAACUGCUCUUU